CGUCGCUCCCGAGGGGAAGGCGGUGAACCGGGAAAAGAAGGGGCGCCGGGGCCCUUGCGGAGGCCGGCGAGGCCAGGGGUCAGCUGCUCUCCCUCCGCCACCCCCGUCUCCAAGUCGGCCGGUAGUGAGAAGGGUCGUGGCGGCCAGAGACUGACCCCCCCAGUGCCGCUAGGGGAACCCGGAGAUGCGCGGCCUCACCCCCCCAUCCCGGCAACCCCCUCCCCCGGCGCCCUGCGACAGAGGCGGCCUCCCGGUUUCACCCUGGGACCCGCGCUCUGCUGAGCCACCCGCCGCCGGCCUCCCGUGUCCCUCUCUGUCCCUCCUUUGCAGGUGGCAGGACGAUCCCCAGGGAAGAAGGAGAGAGAUUCGGCCCCUCCGGAAGGCAGCAGCCCCAGCUGUGGUCCCAGGACUUGCAGUGGGGACGGGGCACCUCCUCAUCUCCUCCCCGGCCCCCUCUUUUGGGGUCUGGGCCCCCACUGUAUUCACUAUGGGUGAAGGCCACGCAGGGAGACACGUGUCUCGGAUCCGUCCUAUCAAUGCCAAGGUUCCUCGGUGGGCUUUAUGGCUUCUUCAGCCACCACCGACUCUGAUUCCGAGUUCUGUUGCUACAGCGUUCAUGAAGCACAGACCUCACUCACGGGGAGUAGACGUAAGCUCCACCUCUGGAAGGGAAGAGCAUCCGAGAGUGUGUGGGCAGAGUCUAAAAGCAGCACAGAGAUCCUGACCAUUCCUGGUUCAUCUUCUGCCUAACUCAUGAAAGUGAAAGCCACACAUGCAGCGGGGGACACGUGGCUCCCUCAGAAGUUCCCGCGAAAGCAACGGGCUAGCUGAUUUUCUCCAAUUCUCCAUCCCAGCGCGGGCUCCUGCAUUAGGAUUUGGCUUGGGGUUUAUUGCCUCACGGUCACAACAUGGCUGCUGAGCUCCGGACAUCACCUUCUCCCACAACUGG